AUAUUUAUUAAUUUUAAAUUAAUUUCGCGUUAAAGAUUUCAGAUGAAUUCUAUAUAAAAAACUAUGAUUCGCUGGAAGAGAAAAUUAUUCAAAUAGAUAUCAGCAAUUUUUCAAUUGCUUCUUGUCCAUUUUCUAUUCACUGGUCCAACGGUGAAAAACCAAUCAUAACAUCCGAUUAUAUUCAAUGUACUUUAGAGCAAGGAAAAGCAUGUAGCUUCGAAUUAACAUUUCAACCGAAAUCACGAGGAAACUUUAACAUUGAAGCACCGAUAUUUAUCCAUGAUGAAUUGAACGGUGGAAUGUUUAAUAAAUUAUGUCUUAUCGGUGAAUAUCCUGCUUGUACGAUUCAAUCUGAAUUUUCAGAUAUAUUUUUUACACCUGUACCGUUAAAUACAUCGAUCGAAAAAAAGUUUCAUUUAAUUAUAAAAUAUUUUGAGAAGGAUACAGUUAUUCUAGCAAAAAAAUUGUCUCCUGAAUAUUCCAUUGGAGAAUACAUGGAUAAUAUUCUUCUUAUACAUUUUGUAGAUACAAAUGUUGCAUAUGCUUCUGAAUUUUCAGAAUUAGAAGUACGAAUAAUAUUUAAAAGCAAGGCACCUGUUUCAUUUCGCACGACCAUUGAAUUUUUCGAUGGCGAUAGAAUUGCCAUUUGUCCUGUAACGAUUUAUGCUACAUCUGAUAAUUGUUUAUUAACUACAUAUAUGUAUUUAAGAAAUUCAAUUAUCGAUUUUGAAGAAAUUCAAUCAAUUAAUUUUGAUAAACGAACAUGUGUUUCCGAUUCAUAUAUAUCCAAUUUUACCGACGAAGGAAAUGAAAUCUGCAAUCAAAACCAAGAAAAUAAAAAAUCAGAUUUAAAAAUAGGUAUUUUAACUUAUUUUACUCGAAAAAAUCGAAUUUCGCUUGAAAAAUUAACAGAAAAUAAAUAUAAAUUAGCUAUAUACAAGUCGGAUAUUUCAUACGAAAAAAAUAAUCACAAUAUUGAGGAAGAACAAAAAAAUUCGUAUCGGAAAAACCUUUUUCUGAAACAAAAAUUCCAAAUUUCGUUACAGAUAUCACAACUAAAGAAAUAAUUCAAGAAUCAAUGCAAUAUCCAUUUUUUCCUUUUGAUAAUAAAAAUAACGAAUAUGAAAUUUAUAUGAUUCAAACGCUACAAGCCGCAGAAGAAUGGUUAUACAAUGGACCUUUCAAAUUUAAUUUUUAUUUCGACAUUUUAAACAUUCCAAUGAUAUUAUCAAAAUUUUAUUCAAAGAAACCAGGACAGUUUAGAACUACAAUUCGAAAAGGUCCAGAAUUGGGUUUAGUAGGUGUCCUUGAAUCAUUGCUAGGACCAGUAAUUUAUGAUUAUAUAGGAAAAUUUAAAGAACCACCAGAAAAAAAUGACAUUGAAAGGGCAAAUUAUAUAUUUAAUUUUUAUGAUACUAUUCUUACUUUUUUAACAAAAUAUGGAGCUUAUUUGUGCCACGUUUUACCACAAUUUUUAUUAAAUUACGAUGAUUAUGUUAUUUUGAUGGAAAAUACACGUUCUAAAGCAAGUAUAUAAUUUAUGUA